rfam:Asian citrus Psyllid, Diaphorina citri - Florida Strain, whole genome shotgun sequence.
AAAAAGGCCCUUUUCAGGGCCACCACAAUUUCUG